rnacentral:rRNA from 1 species
UACGAGAGGCCCAAACGUUAUUCGGAUUUACUGGGCUUAAAGAGUUCGUAGGCGGCGCAGAAAGUGGGGUGUGAAAGCCCUCGGCUCAACCGAGGAAUUGCGCUCCAAACUACUGUGCUCGAGGGACCUAGAGGUGAGCAGAACUGAUGGUGGAGCGGUGAAAUGCGUUGAUAUCAUCAGGAAUACCGGAGGCGAAGGCGGCUCACUGGGGUCUUCUGGACGCUGAGGAACGGAAAGCCAAGGGGAGACGAACCGGGGAAUUAGG